UCUAAUACCGGAUAGGAGCGUCCACCGCAUGGUGGGUGUUGGAAAGAUUUAUCGGUUUUGGAUGGACUCGCGGCCUAUCAGCUUGUUGGUGAGGUAAUGGCUCACCAAGGCGACGACGGGUAGCCGGCCUGAGAGGGUGACCGGCCACACUGGGACUGAGACACGGCCCAGACUCCUACGGGAGGCAGCAGUGGGGAAUAUUGCACAAUGGGCGCAAGCCUGAUGCAGCGACGCCGCGUGAGGGAUGACGGCCUUCGGGUUGUAAACCUCUUUCAGUAGGGAAGAAGCGAAAGUGACGGUACCUGCAGAAGAAGCACCGGCUAACUACGUGCCAGCAGCCGCGGUAAUACGUAGGGUGCGAGCGUUAUCCGGAAUUAUUGGGCGUAAAGAGCUCGUAGGCGGUUUGUCGCGUCUGUCGUGAAAGUCCGGGGCUUAACCCCGGAUCUGCGGUGGGUACGGGCAGACUAGAGUGCAGUAGGGGAGACUGGAAUUCCUGGUGUAGCGGUGGAAUGCGCAGAUAUCA
rnacentral:rRNA from 1 species